GCCUCUGUAGCUCAGUGGCAGAGCGUUGGUCUUGUAAAUCAGUGGUCGUGAGUUCAAUCCUCACAGGAGGCA
rnacentral:tRNA from 1 species